AGCUCCAGUAGCAUAUAUUAAAAUUGUUGCAGUUAAAAAGCUCGUAGUUGGAUUUCUGAUAUGAUGUGCUUAGUCCGCUUCCGUUAGGAAUGUGUGUACUGAGUUUUGUCUAUCAUCCUUCCAGAGUCCCACGUCCGUCCUUCAUUGGAUUGGGUGCUGGUAUCUGGAUCAUUUACUUUGAGAAAAUUAGAGUGUUUAAAGCAGGCUUACGCUAUGAAUACAUUAGCAUGGAAUAAUAAUAUAGGACUUUUGUUUUAUUUUGUUGGUUUCUAGAACGAGAGUAAUGAUUGAUAGGGAUAGUUGGGGAUGCUAAUAUUCAGCGGCCAGAGGUGAAAUUCUUGGAUUCGCUGAAGAUUAACUUAUGCGAAAGCAUUCAUCAAGGAUGUCUUCUUUA
rnacentral:rRNA from 1 species